rnacentral:rRNA from 1 species
CCUACGGGGGGCAGCAGUGGGGAAUAUUGCACAAUGGGGGGAACCCUGAUGCAGCGACGCCGCGUGGGUGAAGAAGUAUUUCGGUAUGUAAAGCCCUAUCAGCAGGGAAGAAAAAUGACGGUACCUUACUAAGAAGCACCGGCUAAAUACGUGACAGCAGCCGCGGUAAUACGGAUGGUGCAAGCGUUAUCCGGAUUUACUGGGUGUAACGGGAGCGCAGGCGGCAAGCUAAGCCUGAUGUGAAAACCCGCGGCCCAACCGCGGGAGUGCAUUUGGAACUGGCGGGCUGGAGUACCGGAGGGGGAGGCGGAAUGCCUGGUGUAGCGGUGAAAUGCGGAGAGAUUAGGAGGAACACCAGUGGCGAAGGCGGCCUGCUGGACGGAGACUGACGCUGAGGCUCGAAAGCGUGGGGAGCAAACAGGAUUAGAUACCCCUGUAGUC